rnacentral:lncRNA from 1 species
GCUGCAGUAUCGCAACACACAGUGUCUCUUCGAGCCUGUGCUAAGAUUGAGGACAAAUGUGACUGUCUGGACUGCUGCAGGCACAUGGUUUAAAGAUAUGUUGAUCCAGGCAGUGUGCUGAAAGAAGGAAACAAACAUGAACCCUGUGUGAACUGAAGAGGACUGUGGGCUGCAUAUCUGGGACUUGAUGGGGCUGCAGUUGGGUGACCUCUGUGACAUGGCCAGUGGCAAGAUGCACCGGCCCAUGAGGUCCUGCAGAAGAGCGGAUAGAUUCCAGGGCAGAGUGGUAGCAUCUUGUAACCCGAAGCUGGUCAGAGAGGCAGAAGAGACUCUCACCACCAAGCAGAGGCUGGCCAGCCCUUGGGAGAGGAGGUGGCCCCGGACUACCCAGCUCUGGGACAUGGGUGAAGUCUCCCAUCAAAAGGUAGCCUUUCUCUG